AUCCGAAUCUGAUGUGAAACCUUAAUGAAAAACUUUUUUUCAUUAUUUCACUCUGCCAUGGCCAUGGGCUUAAGGACUCGAUCUUUGGAUCAUCAUAGGACUACUCCUCUCAUCUACCGAGGUUGAUAGAUUCCAUCUUGGUGCAAUCUGAUUCCUACAAUGAACAUGCUACAGCCAACAUACACCUCAGGAUUUCAAAUGGCUAGG
rnacentral:lncRNA from 1 species